UGGGGAAUAUUGGACAAUGGGCGAAAGCCUGAUCCAGCCAUGCCGCAUGAGUGAAGAAGGCCUUUGGGUUGUAAAGCUCUUUUAGUGAGGAAGAUAAUGACGGUACUCACAGAAGAAGUCCUGGCUAACUCCGUGCCAGCAGCCGCGGUAAUACGGAGAGGGCUAGGGUUAUUCGGAAUUUUUGGGCGUAAAGGGUGCGUAGGCUGGUUAAUAAGUGAAAAGUGAAAUCCCGAGGAUUAACCUUGGAAUUGCUUUUAAAACUAUUAAUCUAGAGAUUGAAAGAGGAUAGAGGAAUUCCUGAUGUAGAGGUAAAAUUCGUAAAUAUUAGGAGGAACACCAGUGGCGAAGGCGUCUAUCUGGUUCAAAUCUGACGCUGAAGCGCGAAGGCGUGGGGAGCAAACA
rnacentral:rRNA from 1 species